rnacentral:rRNA from 1 species
GAUGAACGCUGGCGGCGUGCCUAAUACAUGCAAGUCGAGCGAACGGACGAGAAGCUUGCUUCUCUGAUGUUAGCGGCGGACGGGUGAGUAACACGUGGAUAACCUACCUAUAAGACUGGGAUAACUUCGGGAAACCGGAGCUAAUACCGGAUAAUAUUUUGAACCGCAUGGUUCAAAAGUGAAAGACGGUCUUGCUGUCACUUAUAGAUGGAUCCGCGCUGCAUUAGCUAGUUGGUAAGGUAACGGCUUACCAAGGCAACGAUGCAUAGCCGACCUGAGAGGGUGCUCGGCCACACUGGAACUGAGACACGGUCCAGGCUCCUACGGGAGGCAGCAGUAGGGAAUCUUCCGCAAUGGGCGAACGCCUGACGGAGCAACGCCGCGUGAGUGAUGAAGGUCUUCGGAUCGUAAAACUCUGUUAUUAGGGAAGAACAUAUGUGUAAGUAACUGUGCACAUCUUGACGGUACCUAAUCAGAAAGCCACGGCUAACUACGUG